rnacentral:lncRNA from 1 species
AAUCCCAAACUCUCUUCCUUCUCUAUUCUUUCUCUCUCUAGAUUAAAAACCCCAUUGGACACCAAGCUAGUGGAGGAUUUAAGGGCUGAAAAGAUCCAAGUUUCUCCAUAAAUCUUCAUCAAUUAGUAAGGUAUGAGAUUCCUUUCACCUCUUUCCUCAAAAGGUUUUAAUAAAUUGAUUUCAAAAAAUUUGUUUUUCAAGUGUGUUUUCAUCCAAUACGAAUUUGAGCUUGUGAAUUGAUUUGUUUAUGAUUUUUUUGAAUAUUAUCAAUAUACUAACACCUUUAGUUAACUGAAAAAAAAAAGAUAUUAUUUUAAAUUCUUAAAACAACUGGAUCACAUCAACUCAGAACAAAUUUCCAGCAAAUAAAAUCGCAAAAAACAAAGGAGAAAAAUAUGCAACUUCUUGCAAGGAGAACACAGACCACUAACCCAUUUAAUUUCAUGAAUAAAUAAGAAAUCCAAUGUGAGUUUUACAGUAAUAAAAAGAAAAGAAAUAGCAACUUUCUUAGAAUAAAAUUUCUCACAUUAUCACAAUUGUAACAACCUGCUAACAUAAAACCAUAAAGCAUAGACGAACUUCAGAAUUAAGACACAUCUAAGAUGCGUGAGAACUACACACAUAAUGGACGAAGCAACUAAAAAUUGACCAUGGGAGAAUGAGGACUCAAAUCAAGAAGGGAUCCAUUGAAAGCAUGGUUAAAAGUGGAAAUUCUCUCCUGUUGUGCAACAAAUAGGGACUGGCGAGCAGAUAUGAGCUGACUUCCACCAACAAAGUUCUAAAACGACUCUAAUGGCUAAUCCUCUUAUCCGUUGUUCUUGAGAAAUCUUAGCAAUGGUUUCUACCUAAAUCUUUAAUGUUCUUUCUAUUUUAUCGCUCAAACUUCACCCUAAAAGAAAAAUUUUUUACUCUAUAUCAAAACAAAUUCUCCUCUAAAGCAAAAAAAGUAAAUAAAAUAAAUAAAUUCCCCCUCAAGGGAGAAAUGAGAUUAUUUACAGAAGAAGAUUUAGGGUUUUCUUGGGCAGGAAUCUGGGGAAAUUCAGAUAAGAACCAAGGUAAAAAAAAUCUGAAUUCAUUUCGAAAUUCAAAUCCCUCCACAGGACAAGGAAAAUCUAUAUUUUCUUUACGAAAGAUUCGUCAAUUUUAAGCAAAAAAAACAAAAGAAGAAAGGGACGUAGGCGGCAUAGAUCAAUCGAUCGUCCCUGCGCCUUGACAUGGCGCCCAUCCACGCGAGCCAAGGACGAUUUCCACGGCUGUAUUGACUGAGAAACAGUUGGAUUUGGGAAAAACUGCUCCAACUCGUACCAUCUCGAAAAGGAGACUAGUCGCAUUGAAGCGCGUUGCUAAUUCACGCAUCAAAGGGGAGAAAUGCGAACACAGGGGAGGGGUUGAGCCAUGGAGGAACGCGCACCGCUGCUACGUAACGCGUGAAGAACGCGAUGCUGCCUCUGACUUCUUAUCUCUAGCAUCGCAGAAUUCAUUUUGGUGAUGAGCAAAAGGGAUUUGGAUCGGGUUGACAUAAUGUUGGGCCCAAAAUUGGGCUGGGGUUGAAUGGAUUAAUUAUUGGAAGAGUGGGCUGGGAAAUUGGGAUAUUUCAAUGAAGCCGUUGGGCUGAAAAAUUUGGGCUGGCUGCAGUAGAAGGGAUUUGGAAUUGAGCUGGAGAACUGGCUGAGGAUGUGGAGUGAGUUGCUGAAAAAAAUUGAGAGAAAACCCAAAAUAUAUUUUUUGCAAAGUGUUUUUUGAUAGUAGGUAAAUAAAAAAUGAACUGAUAAAAAUUAAUUAACAAGCUUCUUACGUUUGACGAAAUAAAGUAAUCGACUUAAUUAAGAUGUAAUUAAUCCGAAAGUGUAAACUAAUUUAGUAAAGUAUUGAACCCAAAAUAAAAUCCUUUUGAGACGAUUUUCAAAUAAUCACAAAAUAUACUAGUUAUAUACAUAACUAAGUAAAAUACAUACUCUAUCUAAAAAAGGUGAUGAGAUUAAUUAAAAUUAACUUAAAAUAUUUUAAACUUUAUAAAAUCUAAUUAUUUUUAAAAUCGGUUAGAAUUAAGAAGCUCGUUGAUUGAUUAUUAUCGUGGAGGGCCAAAAUUGAGUGUCAGCAACUGUCCCUCAUUUUUUUUGAAUUGAUACAAGAAAUUCGAGGAAAAUGAAGUUGACCAAACAGAUUUUAACCGACCACAUAUAUAUUCUUAAAAAAAGGAUUUGGCUAGGAAUUCAAGAGUUAUGGCCGAACCCCAAAACGAGUUUCCUGCAUAUCUUAGGAAAUAUGAGAAUUCAGGUCACUUGUAGUUCAAUACGCUUGAGUUAAGACAUGAUUUUGAAAGAAUUCACAAGUCAUCUCGACACCAAAUUAUGAAGGGAUCGAAAUGCUCGUGAGUAAUAUUCAAGAGCGAGAGUUGGAAUACAGUUGAGUUUUCAACAUUGAGCUUGCCUACAUAUCCUUAAACUCAAGGAAUCAAGCUGCUUGUAGUUCAACUCAAACAGUUGAAAAGGAAAUCUAUUAUGCUAGAUAACCUUUAGUUCAUGACAAGUGACAAAUUAAGUCGAGUGUGAAAAGGAGGUGUGUAACCUCUUAGUCAUGAAUGUGGUGCUCUUUACACCCAUAAAUAAAAACUUACACGGACAUUAUAAUCUUAUAUUUUCCAUAGUUUCCAUCCAAUAUUAUAAAUAGUCAUAGUUCAUUUUAAUCUAAAUCUAUUUUUAAAUCGUAUAUAUCUAUAUCUAAUUCUUGUAAAUCUAUUUCAUACCAUUCUUUAUUUAAUAUAUCUUCUAUAUCAUGAUCAAAUAUUUUUCCCAUAUAAUUCUUUUUAUGUCAACAAUUUCUAUAUCUUUAACUAUAUAUAAGAUCAAAGUUUUAUAGCUUUUUAUUUCAUCAUACAAUGUAAUCAUGUUUAUUUAUUUAUUCAGGUUUGUUUUCAAUUAUUCCUUCCUAUCAUAUCAUAAUUCAAUUAAAUUCAUAUUAGUUUAUUUUAAACUAGAGUAUCAUUAUCAUGUUUUUAGGUCACUACUAGUAUCGUACUUUAGCAGAUAAUUAUUGCUUAUCAGCGCCUCAACCUUGUGUACUCCCCUAACGGCAUCCCCCGCCUACCGGUUUCCACUGUGGGAUGACAUAGUCUAGCAGUUUUCUCCCUGUUUCCCGUUUACUAGCAAACUAGAAUUCAUGAUUCAAAUAUUUCUACUAUAUAUUCAAUAACAUAAAUUUAAUCAAUCAUAUAUGAUAUUCAGGAAUAUAUGAAAUUAGUUCUGCAUAAUUGUUAAACAAUAUACCUUUGUCUCUUGAUUUUCCAUGCUAUCUAAAAUAUUUGACUUGAUUUCGGAUUUCUCCAUUUUUAACUUAGUCUAUAUCUUUUGUCGAGAGAGGUUUUUGAAAGGCUUUUUAUUAACUUAAGCUUUUGUUUGGUCUUGCCUGCCUCUCAUUUACAGUUUGGCAAUCUAUAUAUACUAAAUUCUAAACCUACACAUAAUUGUGCCUACUGUAUACUUACGACUAUUUUACAAAACUUUACAAAUGACCGCUAUACAUUGGUCUAUUAAAAAGUAAAAGCUAUAUACAAAGGAAUCUUAUCUUUUUGCUUUUAUCUUUGUCUACCACUUAUCUUUACAUAAUUUCAAACUUUCUUUUUAUCUUGUCUACCACCUUAUGUCCUUUGUUUGUAUCUGCUUUUGUCCUUGUUAUCUUUAUCUCUUUUUCUCCUCCAUCUUUUAUGAUUAUCUAUUUUUCUUUAUUCCAAAUCAACAUCUGGUAUAACCUUAUCUUCUCCAUUGCAUUUGAAACAUCUAUGAUAUGGAUAUUUGUGUCCAAUAAGUUUACAAUAUCUAAUUAAUAAGUCUUCUGAGAUAAAUUCUUUCUUUAAUGCUUGUGUUGUAGGUUGUUCCUCUGUCUUUAAUAAUGAAAAAAUUCAUCGCUGAACUUCAUCCAUAUCUGCUCUUCUUAAUUCCCUUGAGUUUGAAUUUAUCAUAACAUGAUCUCUAGAGUAAUAACUCCAUAUGGCAUUUUCAUUUAAAUAAUUAUUUGCUAAUUCUUGUAUGAUAGUUGAUACACCAAUUAUUCUUUUACUGGCAUAAAAACCUGGUAUUUCUAUCUUUGGUAUUUCAUUCUGAUGUCCAAUAUCUUCUGGUAUGAUCAUACCUUUUGUCAAUCCUAUCUUAAUAACAUGAAUUGGAGAUUUUACCUCCUCAUAUAAUAUUUCUGCUGGUGCUGUAUACAACUUAAUAUAAAAUAAGUUUCCUUUUGUAACUCUUUUAUGUGUAAUAAAUGCUUUGUAUAACUCUGGUAUUCCACUAAUUUCUUCUCCAUCAUAUGUAUAUACUGUACUUAGUAAUCCAUAAUUGUAACAUGUCUUAACUAGAUUAGCUUUUUUUUUUGUGCUCUAAGUCUAUUGUAUAUUUGUAAUUUUUGAGUUAUAUAGUCUUGACUUGGAUCUUUGGUUUGGUUACAUCUGGGUAGAGAAUUAAAUAAGUUUGGAUUCUAUAUAUCUUUUCAAUGUAGGUUUGUGUAAUAUAAUUGUAUCUUUUCUUUCACUCUGGUUUUGUAUACUCACUGCACAGGUAGAAGUUUGUGGUUCUAUGAGUAUUUGUUUUGAUGUAAUUUGAAUAAAUGGUUUUACAAAUAACUGGUUUAAAUUUGUAUUUCGUAGUUUUUCACUAACUUUUCUGCUUGUACCUGCAGCUGUAUUUAAAAAAACAUUAUGAUUUUUAGGGAUUUUUCCAUCGUCUCCUUUUAUCUCAGGAAUGUUACCGUCUUCUGAUCGUCGUAGCUCCGCAUUUUUAUAGUCAUGCUGCUGACUUAUAUUAGCUUUAGACUUCAGGUUAUCUUCAUUAGUCUUUAGCUUUUGUAUCUCAUUGUCCAUACUAUCCACUAUAGUACAAAGUGUAGUAAUGGCUUUAAGUCACUUUGUAAUUGUAUCUUCGUCUUUGUUCUUAGUCUGAGUAGCUUUGUCUUGAUAACUAGUUUGCAACACCAUUCUUAUUAGUCUUUAUCAAUUCAAUUGUAAAUGUAAAGUUUAAUAUAUUUAAUACCAAUCUUCUAAUUUCUUUUAUUG